CCUACGGGUGGCAGCAGUGAGGAAUAUUGGUCAAUGGGCGGAAGCCUGAACCAGCCAAGUAGCGUGCAGGAUGACGGCCCUACGUGUUGUAAACUGCUUUUAUACGGGAAUAACGCGCCUUACGUGUAGGGCUUUGCAUGUACCGUAUGAAUAAGGACCGGCUAAUUCCGUGCCAGCAGCCGCGGUAAUACGGAAGGUCCGGGCGUUAUCCGGAUUUAUUGGGUUUAAAGGGAGCGUAGGCCGCAUGUCAAGCGUGCUGUGAAAUGUCCGGGCUCAACCCGGGCCUUGCAGCGCGAACUGGCGUGCUUGAGUCCGCGGAAAGCAGGCGGAAUGCGUGGUGUAGCGGUGAAAGGCUUAGAUAUGACGAAGAACCCCGAUUGCGAAGGCAGCUUGCUGCAGCGGAACUGACGCUGAUGCUCGAAAGCGCGGGUAUCGAACAGGAUUAGAUACCCCGGUAGUC
rnacentral:rRNA from 1 species